UGGGGAAUAUUGUGCAAUGGGGGAAACCCUGACACAGCGACGCCGCGUGAGCGAAGAAGGCCUUCGGGUCGUAAAGCUCAAUAGUAUGGGAAGAAAUAAAUGACGGUACCAUACGAAAGCCCCGGCUAACUUCGUGCCAGCAGCCGCGGUAAUACGUAGGGGGCGAGCGUUGUCCGGAAUUACUGGGCGUAAAGAGCACGUGGGCGGCUAUAAAAGUCAGAUGUGAAAAACCUGGGCUCAACCGAGGGUAUGCAUCUGAAACUAAAUAGCUUGAGUCAAGGAGAGGAGAGCGGAAUUCCUGGUGUAGCGGUGAAAUGCGUAGAGAUCAGGAAGAAUACCAGUGGCGAAAGCGGCUCUCUGGACUUGAACUGACGCUGAGGUGCGAAAGCGUGGGGAGCAAACAGG
rnacentral:rRNA from 1 species